CAAAUCUUUCAUUUGAUCCAAGGACAGGUACAGCACAGGAAAUUGCGGUGCAAAUUUUCCCUUGCACAUUCAGCGGCCAAAAUCUUUCAACCCAGCCCUGAAAAGAACAUUUCAGCGAUUUAGAAAUAAGGAGCAUCCCACACCCAGGAGAGAGAAAUAGAAAUGUACAAGCAAUAAAAAAAACUGCAGAUGAAAGGCAGGCCCAGCUGCUAAACCGCAAAAGGUUUGAAAAGAAUUACAUUCAUCAACAAGGUUUGGACCAGGCCUGAAUUUCAAGUACACAAGCAAAGGAUAAGGCUGCCAAUGUAAGUGGGACAAAAUGUGAUCGGAUGCAGAAGACUAAAAGGCUUCUGUCCCUUUACCAGUUAGACAGAAAGAGGAUUUUGGCAGGUGCAGUUUGACACGUUAGCCUGGAAGGCAGAAGUAAGAAGAGCAGUAAGUGCCAAGCUUUCUCUUUUGCACAAAGUUUGAGAGGGGAAAAAAAUGAACCAUUCAUUUCUCCAGUUCCUCUGUCCAAAAAUUUGAUGGAGAAAAGGAGAUCGGUGCCAGUUUCUUUUGCAUCGUCCCUCACUACUGGAUUCCAUCCCUUUUGCCGUAUAUUUCUUCCAGAAGAGUUGGAUGCUGCUACCAUGGGAUGAUGGGAAGGCACUGUUGUUAAAUGAUUCGGUCACUGUGUUAUUACUCAUGUAGUAUGAAAUGGUCUAGAUUUGCUUUGAUUAAUUGAGCCAGAUUUUUGGAGAUUACCUGAUUUGUUUUUCUAAAGCAAAAAAGAUGAUCCGAUUGGCCUCAAUAAAGGAUUCUCUGUGACUUUGAAUCAUUUUGAAACUGUGCUGCAGGACAAAGCUCACUUCAAUCCUCCUUUAGCAUUUCCCAAAGCUUCAAGAACUGGGCAAUUUUGGAUUACUUGCAAUUCACCCUGCAAGUGUGAACCAUCAAACCUGGAAUACUUUGGCAGGUGCCAAGAGGCUUUAAGUUGGUUAGCUUCAGAAUGUGCAGGGGAAAUGCCUGCAUUAUGCAAAGGAAUUUCCCACCUGGAAGAUUUUUUAGAAGCAUAAAGAAUGUGCCACUCAACGACUUUCUCCCAAUCGCUUGCCAAAACUGAGAACCUACACUGCUCAUCCAUCUUUUGCAAGUGGUCAGAAUGAGGAUCCAGGCUGAGCAGCUUUAGUACAUUCUCUCUGAGACCGCUUGCAGCAUUCACUGUAGCUGUCCAACCAGGCCAUCUUGGACACACAAUGCCACAACUGCCCAGUCCGAAAUGCUCAGCCUUCUCCUACAAAAUUUGAAGAAACCUCCUCUCAGAGUUCUUCUGUAGUGAAGUGCUCCAAACCCAAGCAAAGUCUGGUAAUCACUUCACUUCACCUCUUCUGAAAGACCUUCCAUGGUCUUUCGGAUAUAAGAAUAGGAAUGUUAUUUCCUGAAGUAGUUUUGAGGGGGUUCCUAGAACUUAAUAACAAUUUGAUGUUAUUUUAUUUAAAAAUAGCCAACAUCAGACAGAAACUAGAUUUUUAUACUAAACAAUACUCCUGAUAGAGAAAUAUGGAUUUAAUGAAUUGCAUGACAAGGUAGGCAAAGAUUAAAUGGCACAGAUUGGAGCUGAAGAAGCUUCUUAGAUGAGAAGCGAAAU